rnacentral:rRNA from 1 species
CUCGUAGGUGGCCAACUAAGUCAGACGUGAAAUCCCCAGGCUCAACCUGGGAACUGCGUCUGAUACUGGAUGGCUUGAAUUCGGGAGAGGGAUGCAGAAUUCCAGGUGUAGCGGUGAAAUGCGUAGAUAUCUGGAGGAAUACCGGUGGCGAAGGCGGCAUCCUGGACCGAGAUUGACACUGAUGAGCGAAAGCUAGGGAGCAAAC